rnacentral:lncRNA from 1 species
UUUAGCUAGGUUUUACCCCCUUCCUACCUCAUUUUAUGACUCUUAUUAGCAUCUAUUGCGGCCCCUUGCUACUUGAUUCUACACUGUUGUCUAGAUGUAAAAAAUCUAAGAGGAGGGAAGGUGAAUUGGAUUUUUAGAAAACAAUCUUAGAAUAAGUAUGUGCACUACUAAAUUGCACUAAAUAAGUGUGCAGUAGAAGCAAUAAAUUAAAAUAAAAAAUAUGCUUAAAUAAAUAAGAGCAAAAUAGAAAUAAGCAAGAGUACACAUAAGUAUAAAAUUUUAUAGUGGUUCGAUG